rnacentral:lncRNA from 1 species
UGAUUCUAUUGCAUCAAAAGACUUCAAAAUUGUUGAUAUUUUCUUGCAUCAAAAUCACCCAAAAAUGUAGAGAGAAAAUUUCAUUUCAAAGUUUGCCGAUUCCUUGAAGUUUGAAGCGCUUCUACUACAAGGAGGAAUCAUUGUAACUUAGGAGAUGAUUGUCCAGACUCUGUAAGCACCUUGAUGAGGCAAAUUCGUCUUAAAGACAAAGUGUUGAACACUUACCUCGAUUUUGCAUUAUUCAUUGUUCUUCAAUUUUUCUUGUAUCUUUGAUUUCAAU